CUUUUCAUGUUCAAUAUUUUC
rnacentral:piRNA from 1 species